AGAAAACAAUGGCUGGAGCGGAUCCAGGAUUUCAAAAUGGGGGGUGAACAAUGGCCAGAUAGACGGCUUACUGUUUAACUGAUCCAGUGGUUCUUGAAUUCUGAACGGAAGAUCAGUUGGGGAUCUCGAGGGAAGAAAAACAUGUUUCAAAUAUAACGGAAGAGCCCAUCAAAGGGUGCAGAGGCAGAGAGGACAGACCAAAAUGAAGGAUUAACAGAAUUCAAAAGACUUAUCUGGAAGGACGGAAUACAGGAGAAAUUGAAAGAGAUUUUAGUUUCUAAUGAUAUGCAACAAAAUCUAAGCGACGCACUUAAAAACCAUAGCACAGAGA